rnacentral:rRNA from 1 species
UGGGGAAUAUUGGACAAUGGGCGAAAGCCUGAUCCAGCCAUGCCGCGUGUGUGAAGAAGGUCUUCGGAUUAUAAAGCACUUUAAGUUGGGAGGAAGGGCAGUAAGCGAAUACCUUGCUGUUUUGACGUUACCGACAGAAUAAGCACCGGCUAACUCUGUGCCAGCAGCCGCGGUAAUACAGAGGGUGCGAGCGUUAAUCGGAUUUACUGGGCGUAAAGCGUGCGUAGGCGGCUAAUUGAGUCGGAUGUGAAAUCCCCGAGCUUAACUUGGGAAUUGCAUUCGAUACUGGUUAGCUAGAGUGUGGGAGAGGAUGGUAGAAUUCCAGGUGUAGCGGUGAAAUGCGUAGAGAUCUGGAGGAAUACCGAUGGCGAAGGCAGCCAUCUGGCCUAACACUGACGCUGAGGUACGAAAGCAUGGGGAGCAAACAGG